UGUGUUUCCCUGAUGGGGUAAAUGGGUAUGAAGAAAGGGUUGUGUGUAGUAAGGGUUAGAAAACCUGAAAUGAAUGGUGAUCUGGUGAUCCAACACCAGGAUGUUUGCUUGAUGGUAACUUCAGACAUAGUAUUGUUUCACGGUGUCUGAGUUGAUGAGCUGUGUAAAUUCAUCGCCAUCCAUUUCCUGUAAUUUGAGAGCACCUCCUGUCAAUACCUCCUUGACAAUAAAUGGG
rnacentral:lncRNA from 1 species